GAUCGUGUAGCUCAGUCUGGUAGAGCACUGCUCUGAUACGGCAGGGGUCCCAAGUUCAAAUCCUGGCACGAUCA
rnacentral:tRNA from 1 species